CAAUUACACAGCUAACUAUAUAACAGCUUCAUUUUUACUCAUUUCAUUUUUAUAUAGAUUUUUACAGUUUUUUUCGUAGCUCAAUAUUGCAUAUAAUUUGUUGAAUGCAAUUCUUGUCGAUGUAUUUCCUUCCUUUUCACCAUUAACCUAAUCAACAAUCAUCAUAAUAGUUAUGGGCAUCUUAUGCCUUAUAGUUGUAGUUAUAAUUUUGUUUCUCAGCCAGAGUAAAAAAUGCAGAAUAAUAUUUGAAGUCUAUCGAAACCAAUAUCGUCGUUACCGAAACGGGACUCCAUGCAAUGCUCAGCACUCUUCAUUUAAAGACAAGCACGUUGAAUCACUAAAUAUUAUAAGGAAUAUCCAUUUCAAUAACUCAGAGUGCGUAAGGCUGCCAACUCCACAAGCAAGUGAGUUAGAUGAGCAUUUGCAAAAUUGUUAUCAAGAGGGCGUAGUACCUUUUAAUGUCACAAUUAUGUUAACGCAACCGACGUUCAGCAGCUACAAACACUUUUUCGGCGAUUGUUAUUACACCAUAAAUGCUAUCCCGUUUUAUGAAUACAAAAUAGCAAAGAAGAUGCUUGUUAAAUGUAAUCAACAAUUGUUUGUGUGCUUCACAAAUACUGAAAGGAACCCAUUGGAAAUCCAUAUGUGCGAUCAAAGAUCUUUCUCGGAGCUCCUAGAAUAUUAUAAUAAAAACAUAAUAUUCUGGUUUAUAAUUUGUGCUGUAGUGGCAUAUGUAUCUUAAUAUUUACUACAUAAAUAGAAUUGAAAAUGGAA